UGAAGAGCGCGGCUAUCCAUGUAAACUGAUGCGAAUUGCAGGACUCAGUGAACAUUGACACCUUGAACGCACAUUGCGGCCCCCGGAUCCCAUCGUCCCAGCCCCCCGUUUGGUCGAAAGUAU
rnacentral:rRNA from 1 species